UCCCUGGUGAUCCAGUGGUUAAGGCUCUGCAUUCCCAAUGCACAGGGCCCAGGUUCAAUCCCUGGUCAGAAAA
rnacentral:tRNA from 1 species